GACGAACGCUGGCGGCGUGCUUAACACAUGCAAGUCGAACGCUGAAGCUCAGCUUGCUGGGUGGCUGAGUGGCGAACGGGUGAGUAACACGUGAGUAACCUGCCCUCUUCUUUGGGAUAACGCCCGGAAACGGGUGCUAAUACUGGAUAUUCACUGAUUCUCGCAUGGGUGUUGGUGGAAUGGUUUUUUCUGGUGGGGGAUGGGCUCGCGGCCUAUCAGCUUGUUGGUGGGGUGAUGGCCUACCAAGGCUUUGACGGGUAGCCGGCCUGAGAGGGUGACCGGUCACAUUGGGACUGUGAUACGGACCAGACUCCUACGGGAGGCAGCAGUGGGGAAUAUUGCACAAUGGGCGAAAGCCUGAUGCAGCGACGCCGCGUGAGGGAUGGAGGCUUUCGGGUUGGAAACCUCUUUCGCUCAUGGUCAAGCCGCAGCUUGGGGUUGUGGUGAGGGUAGUGGGUAAAGAAGCGCCGGCUAACUACGUG
rnacentral:rRNA from 1 species